rnacentral:rRNA from 1 species
GACGAACGCUGGCGGCGUGCUUAACACAUGCAAGUCGAGCGGUAAGGCCCUUUCGGGGGUACGACGAGCGGCGAACGGGUGAGUAACACGUGGGUGACCUGCCCUUAGCUCUGGGAUAAGCCUGGGAAACUGGGUCUAAUACCGGAUAUGACUCCAUGACGCAUGUUGUGGGGUGAAAGCCUUGUGCGGCUAGGGAUGGGCCCGCGGCCUAUCAGCUUGUUGGUGGGGUGAUGGCCACCAAGGCGACGACGGGUAGCCGGCCUGAGAGGGCGACCGGCCACACUGGGACUGAGACACGGCCCAGACUCCUACGGGAGGCAGCAGUGGGGAAUCUUGCGCAAUGGGCGAAAGCCUGACGCAGCGACGCCGCGUGAGGGAUGACGGCCU